AAGGAAUAUUGGUCAAUGGACGCAAGUCUGAACCAGCCGUGCCGCGUGAAGGAUGAAGGUCCUCUGGAUUGUAAACUUCUUUUAUCUGGGACGAAAACGGAAUUUUUAUCUCAAUUGACGGUACCAGAGGAAUAAGCCUCGGCUAACUACGUGCCAGCAGCCGCGGUAAAACGUAGGAGGCUAGCGUUAUCCGGAUUUACUGGGCGUAAAGCGCAUGCAGGUGGUUUUGUACGUUGGAUGUGAAAGCUCCUGGCUUAACUGGGAGAGGUCGUUCAAAGCUACAAGACUUGAGAUUGGUAGAGGAAAAUGGAAUUCCGGGUGUAGUGGUGAAAUGCGUAGAUAUCCGGAGGAACACCAGUGGCGAAAGCGGUUUUCUGGACCAAUUCUGACACUCAGAUGCGAAAGCUAAGGUAGCAAACG
rnacentral:rRNA from 1 species